UGGGGUGCUCGAGUGGCAACGGGUGAGUAACACGUGAGUAACCUGCCCUUGACUUUGGGAUAACUUCAGGAAACUGGGGCUAAUACCGGAUAGGAGCUCCUGCUGCAUGGUGGGGGUUGGAAAGUUUCGGCGGUUGGGGAUGGACUCGCGGCUUAUCAGCUUGUUGGUGGGGUAGUGGCUUACCAAGGCUUUGACGGGUAGCCGGCCUGAGAGGGUGACCGGUCACAUUGGGACUGAGAUACGGCCCAG
rnacentral:rRNA from 1 species